rnacentral:rRNA from 1 species
UAAGGAAUAUUGGUCAAUGGAGGCAACUCUGAACCAGCCAUGCCGCGUGAAGGAUUAAGGCCCUCUGGGUUGUAAACUUCUUUUAUAUGGGAAGAAAUGUUCUGAUUCUUCAGAGCUUGACGGUACCAUAGGAAUAAGCACCGGCUAACUCCGUGCCAGCAGCCGCGGUAAUACGGAGGGUGCAAGCGUUAUCCGGAUUCACUGGGUUUAAAGGGUGCGUAGGUGGGCAGAUAAGUCAGUGGUGAAAUCUUCCGGCUUAACCGGAAAAUUGCCGUUGAUACUAUUUGUCUUGAAUAUUGUGGAGGUAAGCGGAAUAUGUCAUGUAGCGGUGAAAUGCUUAGAUAUGACAUAGAACACCCAUUGCGAAGGCAGCUUACUAUAUAAUUAUUGACACUGAGGCACGAAAGCGUGGGUAGCGAACA